rnacentral:miRNA from 1 species
CUUACGGUGGCCCUGAGGUGCAAAACACAAAGGCAAAUAAGAAAAACACAAUGACAUUAGCCAUUGUGUGUUUCUGAUUUGCCUUUGUGUUUUGCACCUCAGGGCCACCGU